AAGUGGAAUGAAAAAAUGCUUUCUAUGUGAAUGGCUCCGGCCCCUAAUAUCUGAAAUGUUGUGCUUUUUUCCUGCAUUUUUCGCACAGUUCUGCGCCCUCACAACAUGAUGCCCAGCUUCUUGCCAUUGGCCACCAACCAGACCUGCUCAGAUUUGCAGUGGAUCAGCGUUAUGCCCAUGAAUAUGGCGACAGCUGUGUCACAGAGGAUUCUACACUGGCGGCAGCUGCUAACAGUAGUUCAUGUAGAUAUUCUGAAGCAUCUUUAUCACAGGGACAAAGUCUAGAGAUGCGUGUCCGGGAUACAGCAGAUUGGCAGAAACACAAAAAGACUCAAUUUUCUCAAGCUGACCUUGAGCUACGAUCUGCUGACUGCAUGCAGACACAAAGUGAGAAGGAAACUGUUCAGGCACUGAACCUUAACAUGUAUAACUCACACACAAAAUUUUCUUACUUUUACGUUUAAUUUCUGUAUGUAGUAAACAUCUCCCAUGAUUUGAAGGUACAUUUAAUUUUAGCUAAAGGUAAUCAAAAUAAAGCUCAUCUCUAAAUCAUUCGGUGGACAUUACACCCCUGCUGGGUCUCUCUCCAGAUGUUUUAAAUGCAGAUGAAUCAUCCGAGGCUUGAGUUCAGUGACAUUCAUUUAGUCUCUCAUGACCUUGGUGAGUCAUCAGAUAAAAUUGUCUUCUCUGCUACCACUCAGAGCAGCAGCUGUGGCGAUCCAGCGAUGCUGGCGGAGGAGAUGCGUAUUGCAGAGACGUGAGGGCCUCCCAGACUUAAUUGAAAAAACUAACACAAAAUCACAUCUUCAUAAGGUGGAAGAUACCUGCAUUAGGGGGGCCGGAGAGAGAAUGUGCUGCUGUUGUAAUUCAGGGAAUACGCAGAUUUAAAGGCAUCCUGGUGUUACAAUUGUCUUACAAAGCCAAAGUCACUGAAAGUUCAAACUGCAGACCGCGGGGCAAUUAAACAGAGGUUAACAUGUUUUAUCUUCCUAAUGGGAUAACACACAAUAUUUAUGCUUGCAUGUGAUUCAUGGCUGUGUGUAUUGCCCCUGCAGGCUGCAUGGAGGGGCUACGUUCUGCGCAAAAAUCUGGCCCGUGCUCUAGCUGCCGCUCAGAUCACAGAAAGCGAUGAGGACUUAGAAGAGGUGGACAUGGACGAAUUCAUUUUUGAUGAGGUAUGAGCAGAUGCUUGGUGCUCCUGCCAUUACGGUGAAGUCAGUAGACAGAUAGCCUGCGCCGUUGUGCUGACAGUUCUUAAACUAGCGCUCAGAACCGUGAGGUGGUCGGCUGUCAGUUGUGAUUAGGUAUUGAAAAAGAGCAGUCAGUGAGCGGGAAAGAGGGGAAGGAAAACGUUGUUUCUUUGUCUUAUGUCACCUGCUAUUUUCUGCCCAUUUGCAUCACGUUUACUCAACUUAGCAUUGGCUUAACCUAUGCAUUACGCUAAGUGAGCUCAUCUAUGUAGCUUAUUAGGCGAUUCAUUAUAGUGUAUUACGAUGUCAUGUUAAAUUGAUCUGUAUUAUUGGUCUACUUCUAAAAAUUCUGGAGGUUUUCAUGUGUUGGCUCUCCAAUUUCUGCCUGUCACGACUUCGGGGGAAAAAAUCUGUUUUGAAGUGGAUACGUUCUCAAGUGUUUGUCACACACAGGAAACUAGUUCAGUGCUUUUAGCUUAAUGUGAUCUGCUUCUUGCUUUGAAGGAAUAAUGAAAACAUCAAGAUGCACUUUAUCAGCUGUAGAAAUCACAUCACAUGGCAUUUUGGAAUGGUGCAGUCCAUGUUCAGCUCUUGGGUUUUGUUUGUGUCCUGUUAUGAAUAAAAAGCGCUGGAGAAAGCCUGGAUAACCCUGGAUUCCAAAGCCUUACCGGCCAGGAUGAUGCCAUUUUCAGAACAGCUGCCAUUGCCAAAGGUAACAGCCCUACGGACCCUCCUUCUGUCUGUGGGCCGGGACAAUCAGAGUCUCUCUGGGUGAUUAAGUGCCGAAUUUAUUGCCUCCAAAAACACAAUUACUUUCUAGGCCGCCUCAAACUUCCUUCUCAUCAGCAGAUGUCAUUUUUCAGCACGGUGCUUUUUCUCCUGCGGUUUCUUUUCUUUAGAGAGAGCUGGCCAUUUCUAUCACGGUAGCGGCACUGUGAUGUGAUGCAGCUGCUGCUGUGAAAAUGUAGAGAUUGUUGAAUGCACUUUGACGAUCUACAACCAGACAGCAUAAAUAUAAACUAUCUUUUAAAAAAGAGCAAGUCUUUGUGUUAGAAACUGCAUACUGAUGCUAUUUUUUCUUUU
rnacentral:lncRNA from 12 species